AAGACUAUACUUUCAGGGAUCAUUUCUUUAGUUGUUGCCUUGAGAAAUGUGUUUUGGAAGAGCUCGGUCUCGCUGUCCGAUGAAGAGUUCUGAUGUUUCUUUCAGAGCAGGAUACUGGUGGGAAGACUUUAUUUCUUCUCCACUGUUGAAGAUUGCUCAGAGUUUCUCAAACACUCUAAUGGUGGAAACAUUAUCUGAGUGGA
rnacentral:snoRNA from 1 species